rnacentral:lncRNA from 1 species
GCAAAACCACUCAGCCUUAGCCCAGUAGACAGUGCAUAUGCAUGCUGGGGGAGAGGCUUAUCGAAGUUAUUAACAAAAUCCGUGUCUGAUAAUAAGGAAUAUAUAAUUAAGGAAGCAUACAUCGUAUAGGUUUCCUAGGCUUGUGGACUAAGCUGUAGUAAACUCGCUAAAAAAAGAUUGUGAAAUCAUGAAUAAACCCUAUUUUUCGAAUGGCAUUCAUGGCUUUCCCGAAAUUCGUUAUGAAGAAAUUCAUUUUUCUUGUUUGCAAGAAUGUAAAGAUAAAGGAAAAAAAGUAUAAUUUAAUAUAUUUUAAGCAUUGGACAUUAGAGAUACAAGAAUUUACGUGAAAACUCCAACCUUGAAGAAAAUCAUGGAAGGUAAAAGAAAGAAACUAUCUUCUAUGCCAAAAUUUGUUAGAAUCAUAUGGUUUGUCACAUGCUCAUGAACCUAUAUACUAAGAAAAAAACAUUCAUAAUCAAUGCUACAGAACCAAAAUUGUCAAUAUAGCUCCUACCGGUGGCAGUGGAAAUAAUAAAUCAUGUUUCGUUUUUACUUGACUUAUUGCUGCAAAGCUUCUAAUAAGAGGCUUUACUCAGUAACAUGCAAGCACAACUUUUCUUGUGACUGAAGAACCGGAAAGUAUGUUAGAGAAUUGAAGAUUGCGGCCACAAGGUUGAGUUGUUGAUCAAGCUCGAGAUUAAGAAUAAUGGAUUUACAAGGAUACAUGUAACUCAUUUUAUCGCCUUAUCAUAAUCCUAUAUUUAUAUUUAAGCUUUUAUGCUAUGCAUAUAUCUGUAUAAGAUAUUUCAAUUUUAAGCCAAAUCCUUACCAAAAUCACAAAAAAAUAAUAAUAAUAAUAAUUUCUUGGAAAUUGUAUGAGACAACAUCACAAUGGAGAAUGCAUUCAUUGGGUACAAUUUGUAAUGCUUUAUUUUUUUGGGCAAUUAGUAGGAUAGAGAAGGUAAAAUUAACAUAUCAUCGAAUUGAAAGCAACGGCCUUGUUCUCGAGAUUAUGGACAGUACAAAACUACAAAGUUGUUAAAACUCUAUAAUGAAUUUUUUAAAGUUAAUGAGAAAAUACUCGUAAUGAAUUACAACGCUCUAUAUUAGCAUCCAUGAUACUAAGGUUCGUGCAGGAAGGGGAGAUUUAUGUCCUCUAUUGAACCAUAUUAAGUGCUUUGUAGCAUUAUUUAAAUAUCGAAACAAAGGGAAGAAAAGGAAAGAUUAAAAUAUGUGCUGAGACUCAAUUGCUUACAUCAUCGGCUAUUUGAAGUGUACCAUUUUCAUCCUGCAAAAGCAUAAAAUGGACUUUAUUACAAAAUAGCCUUGUGGAUUUCAAAACAAAAAAGAAAUUAGUUCAAGGUGUUAUGAAAAAAAUAUAUAUAUAUAUUAUUAUCAGGGGAUAUUACAUAAUACUAGAGAGAGAUCUUUGAACUAAAUGAGGAAAUUUUACGAAUGAUCAUUAAUCCUUUACCGAUUCACCCUCUGGAAUUCUCUACGGAAUUUUUACAUUAAUUAUUAUGGAGAACGUUGUCUUUUCAAGCUUCCAUCAUUUCCUACAUUACCAUGGAUUAUUUUAAACUUCUCCCUAAGCUUUAGAGAAGAACUAUACCAUGGUAUCUUGCAAACGCUGAUGGCUUACACUUUCGGCCAACAGUUGCAUCUGAUGGCGUCUCUGGUGUCCAGCCUUCAAUUGUGCUUCCAUCUAGUUUACGUCGUGUCCCCCACACAAUCAAUCUGUGGGUCCCCUCGUGCAUUCUCCAAUAACCUACAUGCCUCUAUUCCUUGCUUGCUUGCUAGUAAUGUUGCACAUCUCGCUUCUAUACUAUGCCUUGGAAUCCUUGUUGUCUCACUUUUGUCCCAGCCUUCAACCCUUUGUUUUGGCGUUGUAUCUCUUAGGUCAUCUCUAACACUUCACUAAAUUUUGCAUCAAACUAAAAUUCAUCUCCAAUUAUUAUGCCAGAACUUACACCAAAUGAACAGUGUUUAACUAUUUUAUUUCCUUUUUUAUUCUUAAUAAUUUAUUCAUUUAAUUAUUUUAUAAAUGCAUAAAUUACUAAAUAAAUAAUUACGUUAAAUUAAGAAAAAGAUUAAAUUCAUUAAUAAAUAUAAAAAAUAGUACAAUUAAUAAAAGCACUACAACAAUGAAAAUAUUAAAUCAUGCCAUUAAAAAAUAGUGCAGUGCAUUUCGAAUUAGGAUAUGAUGGUAUUACGAAGUCGAAAUAUUAUUGUAAUUCAAUUCUCGAAAUUCGUAUCUUUUUUUAAAUAAAAUUAGAUUAUUUUAUAUAUGUCGUCGUUUAUAUUUUGUGUUAACUUUAAGAAAUAAUCGUAUUUAUUAUUUUUAAAUUUUUUUCUUUUUUAUUUAAUUCAUUAAUUAUUAUUUUUUUCAUUUAAAAUUUAUUUUAAAUGCAAAUAAUAAUAAUAAUAAUAAUAAUAAUAAUAAUAAUAAUAAUAAUAAGUUAUUGUAUUAAAAAUAUAUAGCACAAAUGACACAAAUAUCCUUAAUCAAUUUAUUUGGGAAAUGAAAAGUAAGGCUAAAAAUGACAUUGUAUACUUUGCACCAUUUGGUGCAAAGUGAAUAAUGUUGCACAAAGUUUGGUGCCACACUGGAGGAAAUUUGCAUCAAAAUUUGGUGCAUUUUGGUGAAAUGGUGCAUAUAUUGGAGAUGCUCUUAGCCUUUGUCCCUUAUCGAUGUCUGUGUUGUCAUCCAGCUUUCAAUUCAUCACCUCGCACACUUCUUACGCUUUCAUGUUGCUUUUCUAUGCGAAAUUUGUACAGUUGCACAACAUUUCUCUCACACCAAAACCCUUAAGCACUUCCAAAUAUUGCCUUUGUUAUUUUUUAUUGAAACGUUACUUUUUAAUGUCAAGUAUUAAUUUUAGUCACGUAUUUCUCAAGGCUCAUAAGUACUAACCAAAUAUCUACCACUCAUUUUUUGAAAUGCAAUAUUGAAGCAAACGAAAAUGAAACUCAAACAAAGGCAUUAUUUUCGAGCAUGGCUACAAAUGACUAACUACUCAUAUUCCUAAUAGGAAAUAAGAAUAAUUACCAAUUGUUGUACCACGAAGGACAACACAAAUCAACUUUUACCUGGGAAAUAAGUAAAUUUGCAUUUUAUACAAGACAAUACAAUUCAAUUCAAUUCUUAAUCAACGUGGGGCAAUAUGUUGGGUUAUUUCCUCUUAUGAAGAGGAAAACCCAUGUUUAGGGUCUUAUAUUAUAGUCCAAAGCCUAUUAGGGUGCUAACCCUAAUGAUGAAUAUAAAUACAAGGAGAUUGGAGAAAAUAGGGGUCCAACCAGUUUUUUAAAAGAGAAGAAAAAUAGUUUUUUUCCCUGCUUCCAAAUUUCAUCAAAGCUUCGAUCUCGAGUCGUCCCGAGUUUGAUCAAGCUGAAAUUUGGAAGAAACAUUCACAAGACAGAGAAUGGUGGGAUUAGAUUUUGAGCUCGAGAACAUUAGUUAAUGUGUGUGAACAGUAACUAGAUUUUCUGUAUAUUUUUUCUAUUUUCAUUUUUUUUUGUUGAGAUUGUCGUUAUCUUGAAGAAAUAUACGUUGUAGCUUCUAGUUAUGACUAGAAAAGACUUGGUGUGCCCAUUAUUUGAUUAAUAAUGGAGGUUUUGACUAGACUGAGUCUCGUGGUUUUUAUUCCCCACAUAGGGAAAGCUUUUUUAUGUAAAAUAAUUGAUUAUGUUCUUAUGGUCUGGUGUGAUUGAUUUUCUUUAGAAUAUUUUCAGCAUAUACAAUUGUCAAAUGGCAUUUUAUUUAUUUGCUUUUGGGAAAAGAAUUAUUUCACUAUUUGUCUAUUUGUUUGCAUAUCUCUCGACAAGUGGUAUCAGAGCUAGAUUUUGAGAUUUGAGUUCUAGAUUAUGAAAAUGAAUUUGAGUAAAAUGAUUAACUUGAAUGGUUUGAAUUAUCACAUAUGGAAAGGAAAAAUGAAAGAUUUUUUUUUAUGUGAAAGAUCAUUACGUAUUGAUGUUUAUAGCUGGAAAAUUGUAUAACAAGUCAAAUGAAGAAUGGAAUUUGUUGUAUAGACAAGUUUGUGGGUAGAUGAUGAUGCUUUGAACUAUGUUGGUGGGGGAGACACAUGCUCGUCCUUCGUGGAGUAAGCUUGAAAAGUUAUAUGCUAGAAAGACUGUUAAUAAUAAGAUGUUUCUGAUUAAGCAGAUAAUGACAUUGAAAUACUAGGAUAGAACUCUUUUAACUGGUAAUCUAAAUAUAUUCCAAUGAAUUAUUAAUCAGUUGGCUGGAUGGGUAUUAAGUUUGAUGAUGAAAUUGAGGGGUUAUGGUUGUUUGGUUCAUUAUCGAACUCAUGGGAGAUGCUCAGAACUUCAUUAUCUUACUUUGUUCCAAAUGGUGCCCUCACAAUAGAUCUGGCCAAGAGUUUAUUGUAAAAUGAAGAAUGAAAAGAAAAUCACAGAGAUCUUCACAGUCACAGGUCUUGCUUACAAAAAAGAGGGGGAAGAGUAAGAGCAAAGGUUAGAAGAACAGAGACAGAAGUAGAGCCAAGUUGAACAAGUUUACGAAUAUUGAGUGUUAUCAUUAUGGAAAAAAUGGAUACAUCAAGAAACAUUGCAGGCAAUGGAAGAAAGAAAACAAGAAUGAAAAAGAGAAUGAAGAGAAGAAUGAGGAUGACAAAGAUAGUAAUGAUAAAGUUGCUACCACCACUCCUGCAAACUUCCUCAUUAUUUAUGACGAUGAGAUGAUCUAUUUUGCAAGUUAUGAGACCAGUUGGGUGAUUGAUAGUGUUGCUUCCAUUUAUGCUACAUCGCGGAAAGAUGUCUUUACAUCCUAUAGAUCGGUGAUUUUGAAACUAUGGAGAUGGGCAGUAAUGGCUUGGUAUUGUAAAUGUGUAUUUGGAGAUGAGUAAUAGUUCGAGGUUGGUUCUUAAAGAUGUAAAGAUAUUCCAGAUAAUCAUUUAAACUUGAUUUCUGCAAGAAAAUUUGAUGAUGAUGGGUAUGGUAGUACAUUUAGUAAUGGUUAGUGAAAGUUCACUUAUGGUAUUAUGGUUGUGGUUCAACUUAAAAGGGCCUCUAUGUUGUAUGUUUUGCAGGCAAAGCUCUCCAGUUACAUCGUUAAUGCAAUGGAGGAUGAUUGUACAGUAGAGUUAUGGCAUAAAAAACUUGCUCACAUGAAUGAGAAAGGAUUAGCUUUAUUGGAGAAGAAAAUUGUACUCAGUAGGCAAAAAGUACACACCUAAAAAAGUGUACUCACUGUUUGUCUGGGAAGCAUAACAGAGUCUUCUUCAAUAAUUUUGUUCUUUCAAAAAAGUCAGAAUUACUGGAUUUGGUACAUUUAGAUAUGUCGGUGAAGACGAGAACAUUUGGUGGCUCCAGUUACUUUAUAACGUUUAGAUGACCAUUUAAAGAAGUUGUGGGUUUACAUGUUGAAGUUAAAAGAUCAAGUGUCGACUAUGUUCAAUCAAUUCCAGGCCUUGGUUGAGAGACAGAUUGAAAAGAAGUUUGAGGAAAUGGAGGAGAGUAUUCUAGUCUUUUUUAUGAGUAUUGCAGAUAGCAGGAAAUUUGACAUUAAAAGAUAACUCUGAAAUCUCCAUAGUUGAAUGAUAUAUUAGAAGUGAUGAAUAAAACAUUGGUUGAGAGAGUGAGAUGUUUAUUUUCUCAAGUACAGUUGCCAAAAUUCUUUUGGGGUGAGGCAAGAAGCACUAUCGUGCAUGUGUUGAAUCGUACACGUUGUGUUCCCUUAUAGUAUAAUGUAUUAGACAAGAGUUUGAAAUGGUAAGGAUGUUUCCUACGAUAACUUGUGUGUUUGGUGCAUUUGUGCAUAUUCCUAAAGAUGAGAUGUCUAAGUUUGAUGUGAAAACACGACAAUGUGUAUUUCUUGGUUAUGGUCAAGAUGGGUUUGGAUACAUGCUCUAUGAUUCAGUUGAGAAGAAAAUUGUGAGAAGCAAAGACGUCGUAUUUAUUGAAAAUAAGACAAUUUAGGAUAUUGAGAAAGUAGAGAAAUCUAUACCUUAGAAGGGCUAUAAUUUAAUUGAUUUGGAUUUGGUUUCUAUGAACAAUUUGCCAACUCAAGUUGAGAAUGAUGUUUAGGAUUGCCACUAGGGUAUAGGUGAUGUUGAUGCUCCUUUGCAGGCUCAGGCGUAUGAUGAGACUAAUGAGCAGUUGAUAGUGCUAGAUAUUACACUAGGAGUCCCACUAGAGAUUCCACUCGGGAGGUCUUCUAGAUAUCUACAUCCUUUCACAUGGUAUUUAGUAGAGUAGUAUGUGUUAUUGACGGAUGGAGGAGAGCUCGAGAGUUAUGUAGAAGCCAUGGAAGAUGAACAUAAGACAGAGUGGGUUGAGUCCAUGCAAGAUGAAAUGUAGUCAUUGUAUGAUAACCACAUCUUAGAGUUAGUGAAGCUACCUAAGAUUAAAAAAGCUUUAAAGAACAAAUGGACCUACAAGGUGAAGCAAAAUGAGUUUUCUUCACAGUCGCGGUAUAAAGUUAGAUUGGUUGUAAAAGAGUUUGGUAAGAGAAAAAGUGUUGAUUUUGAUGAGAUCUUUUCUCCAAUCAUAAAGAUGUCAUCUAUUCGUAUUGUUUUUGGCCUAGCAGAGAGUCUUGACUUAGAAGUUGAGCUAAUGAAUGUGAAAAUUGCCUUCCUUGAUGAUUUGGAGAAAGAGAUUUAUACGGAGUAGCUUGAGGGUUUCAAAGUGAAAGGGAAAGAGUAUUAUGUGUGCAAGUUUAAGAAAAAUCUUUAUGGUAUGAAGUAAACAUCGAGAUAGUGGUACAAGAAGUCGAGUUUACUAUGGGGGGCAAUGCUACAAGAAAACAACUUCUGAAUGAUGGAGAUUGAAUUUCGAGUUCGUGGACAUUGGUUAAUGUGUGUGAGCAAUGACCGGAUAUUUGAUAUAUUUUCCCUAUAUUCAUAUUGUUUUGUUGAUAUUGUUGUUAUCUUGAAGAAAUAUACGUUGUACGCUCCAACUGUGACUAGAGAAGACUUGGUGUAUCCAUUAUUUGAUUAACAAUGAAAGUUUUGAUUGGACCAUGUCUCGUUAUUUUUAAUCCUCACAUCGAGGAAGUUUUUCACAUAUAAUAAUGGCUUGUAUCCUUGUGGUUUAAUGUGAUUGAUUUUCUUUAGAAUAUUUUCAACAUAUACAAUUGUCAAGAGUGGCAUUUUACUUAUUCGCUUUUGGAAGAAGAAUUAUUUUGCUAUUUGUCUAUUUGUUUGCAUCUCUCCAACGCAAAAUUAUUUCCUACAUAAACUGCAUAUUAAAAAUAAUAAAUAAGUCUUUGAAUCAGAAAUUGGGUGAAGUGACCAUGGAUUACCGAGGUUGCCAAUAUAUUUUUCAGAAAAAUAGAAAUUUAUUAAAGGAUAAAUUUAAUUUCAUUAUAUAUCAUGUUAUGUGUAUGAUAAUUAUAUAUGUUUACUUGUAAAAACUUUGCUCUCUUAUUCACGCUAAACCAGAAACUCGCUUAAUUUUGAUGAAAGAAUGAAAGAAAAUUAUAAAAUAAAAAAUGAAAAACUAAAAAGAAAAUAUAGCAAAACCACUCAGCCUUAGCCCAGUAGACAGUGCAUAUGCAUGCUGGGGGAGAGGCUUAUCGAAGUUAUCAACAAAAUCCGUGUCUGAUAAGAAGGAAUAUAUAAUUAAGGAAGCAUACAUCGUAUAGGUUUCCUAGGCUUGUGGACUAAGCUGUAGUAAACUCGCUAAAUUUGAUUAUACAGUAACUGGAUCAUCUUUUUCCAAGUAAUGAUUCAAGCAUAGCAGCCUCUUCUUCCUGGAAAUAUGGCAAUUGAUAUGAG